UGGAAAAUAAUAUCUUGAAUAAAUUAUUCACCGAUUGCUCGAAAUGUAUGAAUAAUGUAUUUGGAGGAGAGUAUUCAACCAUACAUAAAGCUGGUCAAAAAGGGGCAAAUGUGUUUCUGGGUGUACAGAAAUUGGUGACAUUUAUUGUGUUCUGAAUAAGAGCAAAAGCAAAGCGAAGUGAAAGAAGCAGAAAAGAUCAGAGCACGGGGCUGUGUAAUGGCUAUUCUCAAGAAAAAAGAAGUGAAUGUUUUUCACGCAAACCUGCUUUAAAAUUAUGGAAAAUAAAGUUAUGUGUGAUGUUUUCUUAAUUUAGCAUUUUAUAAUACAAUCUGGUUUGUCAUCAAGAACUUGUAACCAUCAGCAGAGUGUAAAUACUAUAAUCCUUGUGACAAUGUCUAUUGUACCUGCUCUGCCUGCUGCUAUUUUGGGUUGAUGCUAAGAAAUCAUUCCACCUCAGGUACUAAUUUUAUUAAUAAAAGUUAAGCAUAGCUAAACUAUCCUUAACUGCUCGGUGAAAUCUUAUUUCACUGAACAAACAAUUGCUAAAAACAAUGAAUACACACAGCAAUGUGCAUUGUUUCAUUUCCACUUAAUAUACAUCCAUCAAUGUAUUCACUGUGCAGUAGAAGUUAUCAGAGGUAUGUAUCAAUAGAAAGAGAUUUAUUUAUUAGAGCGUGGUUGCAAAGGUAUUUUUUUGGAUCCCAGGGCUGUUUGUUGGCCUGUAACAGAGAUGUGAAAUCUGGAGCUGGAAAGAAUCCAAGAUUAAAAGCAGAUAGUGUGGUUUACACUUCAAGUCACUCCUCCAAAGGCGUUUAUCCAUCUGAGUCAGACCUGAAGCCACACAGUGCCAAGGACACGGUAUUGCUGGAGGUGUUGUCUUUCAGCUCAGAUAUACAGCCCGGUGCUAACCUGCAUGAAAAGCAGCAGAAGGAUGAGGUCACGGCUGGGAAGGAAAGGCAGCAGUGCAGGGAACCCACAGAUCGCCAAACAGCCCCAAGGCUCAGCACAGGCGCUGCAGAUCUCCAGUUGUCUGACCUCGCCGAUUAGCGAGGUGGGAAACUAGAGGAGAUGGAUGGGGUUUGUAAGGAAAAUGAAAGAGCAACUGAAUCCUGACAAAACAGCCUUGCUAGGGCCUCUUUCUAAUGUCAGCAGUUAGUUGGUAUUUUCACAUUUAAUUUGGACACCGCCAGACCAAAGUCUCCCAGGCACAACCUGUCACCACACUAAUUUCAACAGUGUUAAAGUGGGAUACAUUUGUUCUGUUUACUGCAUUUUAAAUUGCCGUCAUAUCCUCUUUAUUCUUGGAGCACUAGGCUGAUUACUUCAGUAUUCAUUUCAAACAGUAGCCCUGCCACACGUUAGAUCAUUCCAGCUGCUAUACACACAACCACCCAGCCCCUGGCAGAAAAGAAGCCCUUUUCUUUUUUCCUUCCCUCCUGAGAAGAGCAAUGUUCAGGUCCCAUCCAUUCCCUACUGAGAUGACCCCUCUGCGAAUAUCCUGUUACCUAAUAUUUACCACAGUGGUGCAGAGUCCAAAAGGUAAAUUUGAAAGGAGGUGAUUUCAGCCCUCAUAAACAACCAAGAAAUGCUUCAGGACCGGCAGACGUGCAUGAUUCCCCAGUGACAGCAGGACUACAAAAGCCAUUCACAACAUCCCUGUUGAUUCCACUUUACUUCUUGCUUGCUCAUAAACCUGCAAAAGGAUUAACCAAGACGUUUCAUAGAAAUCGCCACAAUAUUCUUUCUAACCCUACUCUUGCUGCCCUGGUGCAACCAAAUUCCUAUUGAAAACACUGGAUAUUUGGAGCACACAACACUUCUUCCUAAAGCAGAGGAAAGGGGCAGAAGGUGGUUUGUCAGCACGUACUCAACUUCUGAUCAAUAUGUAUUCCACUUCUGGUCUGCAUGUAUCAUUUUAUACUAGUCAACUGUGUGCUCCGGUAGACUUUGGCAUCUUGGAUUGGAAAGCAGGAAGAUAUGGCACACGAUUCCCCUCCACUACCCUAGAAUAACAGCAAUCCAACAUGUCAACUUAGAGGAAAGCAGUACAGCUGACAGACAACACAUCAUGAUCAGAGUGAUGGGUAUCUAUGGGGCAAGUGAAUAAAGACUC
ensembl:lncRNA